CCCACAUCAAAAUUGUUACCCACUGCAAACUAUGUUAACCUAGCAUAAAUUUCAGUGAUAAUAAUAAUAACAGUAAUUUUCUUCUAGUGUUCAUUAACUGCUUUCUGUAAGAAUUUUGGGGGCUUCCUGCACUGGUAAUAACUGGAAUCUUGAUUUUACAUACAGUGUCAUAUCACAUGAGAACCAGUUAAAUAAUACAUUACUGUCACCCCAUUUCAUCCCAGUCUGCUCACAAGGUUAUACUAUGCAGACUGUGUAGGUCCUAAUUAAAGAAUAUGUAGUUUAUACAUCAUUAACAGACUACUUAAUGUCUACACAGGGUCUGACUGCAAGUCUAAAGGUAUUUACCAUGGUCUCUGUAUUUAUCAUGAAUGGAAAGAGUUAGAUCACAGUCUUUAGUCUAUAUAGAAUGGUUGAGCAUCCCAGUUGCUAAUUUCCUUUACUGUACUUGGAUAAUGAACAGUAAAUUCAGUUCAUCACUAUAGCUUGUCUUUAGAAUCAAACAAAAGAUGUCCAUUUGAUCUUGGGCAUGAUUUGUACUGAGCAUCAUCAUCGAAUUCAAAGAUCCAUUUCCUGUUUUACAGUCUGAUUGGCUGCCUUGGUUUUACC